CACGUAGGGUGCGAGCGUUGUCCGGAAUUAUUGGGCGUAAAGAGCUCGUAGGCGGUGUGUCGCGUCGGCCGUGAAAACCUGCAGCUUAACUGUGGGCUUGCGGUCGAUACGGGCAUCACUGGAGUUCGGCAGGGGAGACUGGAAUUCCUGGUGUAGCGGUGAAAUGCGCAGAUAUCAGGAGGAACACCGGUGGGCGAAGGCGGGUCUCUGGGCCGAUACUG
rnacentral:rRNA from 1 species